AGGGGUCAUAACUAGUUGUAGGUUGUCUGAGUCCCAAGUUUGGUUGAAUUUUGCUGGAUGAUGCAAUGAAGGGCAAAGAAAUGGU